rnacentral:lncRNA from 1 species
CGCAUACGCCUUAUAAAUGGAGGGAGUAGUACCUAUCAACAUACUUCAAUAUAAGCGAAGCAUUACAUAAAUUGAGGGAGUGGUACUAAAUAACAAAAUAUCUGAUUUUUUGAAGGUGUUCUCAUGAUAUACCAAAGAUUUCGUAUGAUAUUUUGUUGAAUCUAGGUCAAGAUUCUCCCGAUUCUAGCAAUAAAGUUUUGGUGCAGGUUAUGCUUAUUGUACCAAGAAUAAGAAACGUCCAUGAAUAGACUACUAGACAUUCCACUAUUCGGAUUUUUAUCCGGCAUAUUCUACUAAGAGGAACAUCCUUUGGUUGCCAUUACCUAGUGCGAACCAGCCCCAAAAUCUUUCCAACGUGCUAUUCAAAUAUUCGGAUGCCCAGGCCAAGCCGAGUGACAGAUGUGAAAUGUCAAUUUUCCUUGCCCCCCCCUCCCCCCAACAGCACCCCGUUUCAUCCACCACCAUAGCAAAAGGGUAUAUUGGUAAUGUGAAAUGGCCAUCCACCCAAUUGGCCAAAUACCCCAUCCCUUCUCUCCCUCCGACCGAAUCUUCCGCAUCCAAAAACUUUCUGCCAUCAGUUUCCAUUAACCUCCUCGCCCCCAUCCCAAAUCUUCACCUCCUCCUUGCCGCUAUCCCAAAUAUUCACCUACUCACCGCCAUUCACAAUCUUUCCCUCAUAGCUGCCGCCCAUUUCCCAUCUCCCUCUGUAGGACCAGCGACGACGCAGUAGCACCAGGUAUAAAGGUCAUACGAAGGAAACAUCAACAACCCGGUACAAUGUUUUCCACCCCAGUUAAGUGUCCCUGAUGAUGCGAUUAAUGUGUUUCCUUAUUUGGUUUUGUUACUGCUUUUACUUUAUUUUUUGUUUGGAGAUCUGGCAGUUCCCACGUACACACUAGUUUGUUUCUUUUACUAGUUUGUCCUUUGGGCUAGUACAAGGUUGGGUAGGAGCAUCCUAUCUUGGAUCUUGGUUUGGGGGGCAUUACUUUUAUGAUUUUACAUUAAUAUAUUUCUUUUACAGUAGUUUGCCCUUUCGGCUCGUAUAAGGUUGGGUAGGAACAUCCUUUUUUGGAUCUUGUUUUGGCUAGGAACAUCCUAUAUUGGAUCUUUUUUUGGUGUGCUCUACCUUUAGAUUUUGCAGCAGUUUGUUUCUUGUACAGUAGUUUGUUUCGUUUACAGUGGUUGGACAAUUUUACAGAAAUUUCUUUCUUUUCCUAAGAUAAAGAGCCAGGGCACCAUCCAUACGAGCAGGUGAGGGCUGCAUGUAUCAUAAGGAACCAGGGUGUAUUGGCUUCCCUCGGCGUUGGAAAAGUCGCAAGCAUCCUUAAACAUGCAACAAAUGGACAAAGAAAGGAUACCAAUGAAACAAGAAGUGAAAUAAGAAAUGAAGAUCCAGAGCCGAAGUAUGACCCAUCUUAGGAACGGUCUGAAUCUGACCAAGAGACAUACCAACACGAGGUACCUAUUGUUUCCUACCAAAUUUCUUGUAUCAGUUAUGUAGGAUUGCUUAUCAUUAUUUUUGUUUAUGCAAUUUGUCCAAUCAGAUGAGUGAUAGCAUACCUGGCAGUGGGGGAAGAGGGUUGUCCAAGAGAAUUCAGGCAUUGAUGCCUUUGACAGUAUGCCUCCUAGAGUGACUAGGACCAAGCCAAAGGCAUUGGCUUUAGCUCAGGCAGCAGUUUCGGAUGGGACAACUUCUGAUUCACAAGAAUUGUGAACCAAGGGCUAAGCAACAGCCACCCACACUGAGGACAUCAUCAACAUGAUGAUUGGCGAAGGCAAGUCAUUUGAUCUCUUUUUCCCAAAGCCAAAAAAUCGGAAUGUCUUCAUUAGCAACCGAAUCAUUAUUAACACAUACCAGUUGUAUGAUCGUAACAAAAUUGUUAGGUGAUGCACGCCCUUCUAGAAGAGCACAAGUGCCAUGGGAUUCAAGAAGGUUGGGCAAAGAUCUAGACAGGAUAAGUAGAGGGUUACACACUAAGCUUCCGAUCCAUGUUCGAGAAGGGCUCAAAUGGCUAGAAGUGCCAAUGCAAGCUACAAAGUUUGCAUCAGAGGGUGGGAUCAUACUAUGUGGGCAUAUACCAAUCCUUACUCGCUGGAAGGACUACAAGACCGAUAAUGAAAAACAUCUCAAGAACUACAUUAGCAAACUGACAGUGUGUAUAUAUCGACUCAUUUACUACCAUAGUUCAUGGCAUCCUUUCUUUUCAUCCAUUUUUCUAACUACUCUUGUGUUCUGCUUAAUAUACGGACAAUUUGACAUUGACACCACCAGUCAACCUGUCAUAGAGGCAUGCACUGACAUGUUCAAGUCACAAUAGAGACAGGGGAGGUACUGGCUCAAGAAAAAGUUAUUCAAUGAUCUUCCAGCAAAUGUAGUCCCAACCAAAUCUCCUAUGACCACACUGAAUGACGACCAGUGGAACAAUAUGGUUACGAUGUGGUCUAGCCCACCUCACAGGGUACGAUAGAACUUCAACUUGUCACUAGCACAUUUGCAUGUACGGAUCUAUUCCUCAAAUUCAUGUAUCUUACACGAGUGUUCAUUAUUGUAAAGAAGAGGUGUACUACAAACACCAGUAAUCGUGGGGCAGUCAGGUUUCCUCAACGCACAAGAUCUAGAAGCUAUGUUGCACAGGCUCAUGUUGUGGUAAGCAACUGAACAAGUCAUGUUUUUGAUGUGUACUUUAUUUGAUGAACCUGGUCAUGCUCAUUGUUCCAAGCUAACAGUUUAUGCCUAUUUUCACAUCAUAUUAGAGGGAGAAGCAUGCUGAAGGAGACCCAACUCCAAUAGAUCUUUUCAAGAACUUCCAUUGUAGCAAAAAUGGCUACACCACUUCAGUAUAAGUAGCCAUUGUAAGUAAUUGUUUACUUUGCAUUCUUCUUCACAACAACAACACUAGAAACAUUUGUGUGUAAUUUUGUGAGACCUUUCAUUUCCUUUCUUUUAUUAGGCUCAGAUGGCACAAAUUGUCGCCCAACCUGGAGACGACCAACCAAAGACUGUUGCUGAAGCAGUGGCUGAAGUUGUUGAUGAGGACAUUGCUCCUUUAGUUACAGAUGACAAUCCUCCAAUUGUUCUGUAGGGACCAAUCACUAGAGCUCAAGCUAGACAAUUGAAUCAAUAGGUGAGCUCGUUCUUGUGUACUUAUUUUAGUAAUUUUGAGAAUGGGUUGCUACCCAAUGAUGUUAUUGUGCUUAGGAAUAAUGGAGAUGUCCAGGGAGUACUUGAGGAGAAGCAUGAAGGUGGAGAGGUCCAGCAAGGGUCGUCCAAGUCACAUGGAGGCCCAAUGCACAUCAACUUCGAGUCCACCUUUGAGUCUAGGAGCAGUCUGCCUUAGAUUGGGCGCCCAGGCCACAUACAGAGUCAGAUUGCGACGUUCUAUAUAUGGAUGGAAACAUAAUAUUAUAGAGCUUCCAAUGGAGCUUGUCCCAUGAUAAAAGUCAAUCAGAGUCAACAGGAAUCGUCGAAACAAGUGGAUGUCCAUAAUCUGUCAGGGUGCUGCACCACCAUCUGUCGGGCCGUUGGGCCGUGUAUUGUGUUGGAGCCCAUUAGGGGUCUUGCACGCCCCUAAACACUUUAUAUUCAGUAAAGUCAGCCAAGUUAGGGUUUGGGUUUUUCUUAGAUUAUUUCUAUCAUUGACAGUCACCGUACAUCGGUUUGUGAGAUCCCAACUUCGUGUGCUUAAAUUCAAGGUUUUCUGCAAUUGAGUUGCAUUCUUCCUUGCCCUUGCUUGUGUUCUCGAUUUGCAUGCAGGGGAUAGCCUUCAUGGCGAGGUCAACUAGGUUGUGCACGGUUGAUAACCAGAGCAGAAGUGGUGCUUCGAUUGCAGUGUUCAGAUCUUGCUGAUCAGAAGCUGGAUCGAGUGUGUUGUUUCUCCACCAUAUCAAGAGUUAGCCUCACCUGAUGGAAGAUCAGGCACCCUAGUUCCCAUCAGUUGUCCAAUCUAGGACAUUUUAGGAGGUUGCUGGCAUUCACCCACCCUCAAAGAAAUACAAGCUGAUCUUGAGAGUGAGAAACAAGGGGGGUACAACUUCGGCAAAAGAUUGCUGAACAGAAGUCUGAGAUGGGUGCACUAAGAUUGAGGGCUGAAACACAAGAAACAACAUUAAAGUCUCAGAUGAAAGAGCUCAAAGCUUUGAAGAACACAACAAAGUAGUUGCAUUCUCUGAUUUCUAGCCUUAUAAACAUCAGCACCAGUCAGAGCCAGGUGAAUCCUCCCCCCAACUGAAGUGUGUUCCUGGUGAAGUUGCUAUCUGUUGCUGAUGAACUUUUAUUGUAUGUUGCAUUGUUGAUGCUUAACUUGUUGCAUGUUGCAUUAUUGUUGCUGCUGAACUAUUCAUUGAUUGUGAUGUGAACAAUAAGGAAGUUGGAAAUGAGUUGUUUUUAUGUCUGUGAUUGUGAUGGUGAUCAGCAGCCAAAAUUGAAUAUAUUAUUGCAAAAUGCAAUAAUGAGCUAGGGCCCAGAAAAAAAAGGCACAAUAUGGUUCUGCAAAAUGCAAUGAUGGCUCUUUGUUAGAUGGGCUAAGGCCCAGAAAAACUGGCCCAAUAUGACGUGCAGCAAACAUUUUCCGGCCCAAAAAAUAUCACGGAAACCUAAACUCGGCUAAAAAUAGCCCAACAAAAUUAGGCUCAUAAAGGCUCUUACAUGAACUAGGCUUCAAUUUGUGACGAACUGAAAUCGUCAUAACACCCUUGCCACGUCGGAGCCACGUUGGAUUCUUGUCCAACGUGGCGCAACCUCCGAAAUAGUUUUAUGACGAGAUGUGGGACAAAUUUUCAUUCAUCAUUAUCUUAAUGUCGCACUGAAAUAAGAAACGUCACUAGUCACGGUUUAUGAUGCUCGACUAAUGAUGAAGGGUUUUCAUCACUCCCGUGUCAUAAAUCAUGGUUUAUGAUCCAAAAAAUGCGUUUAUGACACUUUUUGAUUCGUCAUAGACCGGAAGAUUUCUUGUAGUGUGAACCCAAUAUCCUAGGUAUAGUAGGAGCAUUCUCACAUCUCAGGUAGCACAAACACUAGAGUAGAUUGUUUGCUUACAUUACUAUCUGAGUUAGUUUAGUUUUAGCUUUUGCUUUCCGAAAGCUGGCUUUUGGCUUCUCGUCCUGGAAUGUUGGCUUUCUGAAAGCUGUGGUCCGUUUGGCAACCUAGCUUCUCUGAGGAUGAAAGUGGCUGGAAGAGAUGUACAAUGUCUCUAUUACCCCUAUGUGUACAUAUUGAUUCUAUUUGUUUUGUGUACAAUUAUUCAUAGACUUUGUUGGCAAUAUAAUUAUAAUAAAUUGCAUGGGUCAUUAUCCAUGCAUUUAUAAGUCACAAACAUGUUCAACCGACAUUACACUACACUCUCUUGGCCAUCAAAGCAUCGGCAAUACUAUCACAGAAAGCAUUCAUGUUGCUCUCUUCAUGUCCAUGUGCUUGCGGCUGAGAUGAUGUAGCUUGACCAACACUUGGAACAAAGUCUUCAUCUUGAUCACACAUGUCAAAAAGUUCAUCAGCCAAAGCACUUUCUCUAAUAAAGUUGUGUAGGGCCAUACAUGCGAUUAUAAUCCUUGUUUGUUUUUCCAUUGGAUAACUCGAUAUUUUUUGUAAUAUGCUCCACUUCAUUUUGAGAACACCAAAUGCCCUUUCAAUCACAUUCCGUAGUGAUGAAUGCAAGUGAUUGAAUACUUCUUUUUUACCUCUUGGCUCUGGACCUUGUCGAAACUCUGGUAAAUGAUACUUCUCUCUUUUGUAUGGUGAAAGAAAACCCUUCUGGUUAGGAUAACCCGAGUCAACCAGGUAGUACUUUCCUACACAUAUUUCCAAGAUGUUAGUAAUAAUAUAUGGUCCAUUUAAUAAAAAAAUUGUAGGUGCCAAAUUGUUGUACCUUCUGGCGGAAAAGGAAAUUUGUCAGCAUAGUUCUGCAAUGCUUCAUUAAAAACCCUUGUGUCCUGCACUGAACCAGGCCAUCCAGUAACAACAAAAAUGAAUCUCAUAUCGAAGUCACAUGCAGCCAAUAUAUUCUGAGUGGUACAUCGGUACCGACCAAAAUGCGUAACCUGUUCAGUAGAAGAUACAACUACAGGGAUAUGAGUUCCAUCAAUUGCUCCAAUAGCACCAUGAAAAUGAGGUGAAAACCGAUGCUCUUGUAGUUUAGGAUGAACUGUAGAAAAAUCUGGAUCUUUUGGUUUAAUAAUGUCUGCAGCCAUUCUGUUCAAGCAAUUCAACACAUGAGUGAACUUUCUAUUGAUGGUCUCUGUAGAUCUUUGAAAUCUAUCCUCAACUUGGCUAAAAGGUUGAGAACCACCUACUAUCCAUAAAAGCAUGGCCAAACUUUCAAUGGAAUGCAUACCCAUAGUUGAUUUCAACCCAUAGUUGGUAACUAAUGCUUCAUGCAAACUAUCAAAAACUGCCCUUGUCAUCCUGAACAUUCUAUAACAUGAUCUAUGUCUGUUCAAAGUGGUAGUAAUCCAUUGAUAACCUAUCACCUCAGGUUGUCUCCUUGCUAACUUGUUUAGGUAAGUUUGAUCAUAGUACAUACCAAACAUGUUUGUAGCAUUGAUCAACUGAUUCAUCUUUUUCUGUUACCCAACUGCAAUUUCCAACAACUUGGAGUAUUCAUCACCACUUGAUUCAUCACUUGCAGAACUCAUCUACAUAAAGGCACAUGGAGAACAACAUCACAAGUCUGGUACAAAUAACAAAUAAUAGAGUUUUACACAACUAACAGAAGAUCACAAAGACCUCACAAGGCACAAAUAUAGAGUUUCAUACAAAAAAUAGUAGCUAGAUAGAUAGGAUACAGAAAUAAUUCUUCCAUGGCCGACUACGUCUUCCUUUCUUCAUAGCAUCUCUUCAGCCAAUUGAACCUUCCUUCAUUGGUGUCAAAGCUAGACAAAAAAAAUUCACGAUUUGCAGAAUGCUUGAACAACUGUGUUGCAAUGUAAUGCUCAUCACUCCCUUCUACAGCCCCACAUUCUUUAACCAAUGCCAUAACCUCUCUAAUUGACUCACAUGUGAAGUCACCAAUCAAUACUUUGGAGGUCACAAAGUUGGAACUAAUCACAUCAUCCACCAUGCGUGACAUCACCCACACCAUAGGAUUCUUCCCUUUCUUCCUUGGGCUAAUUUUCCUAGAGCUACUAGAUUUCACCUUCCUCUUUAGUUCGGUGCGUGUAGAUGAUGUGGGUGUGAAUUGAUCACUCCCCAUUUCAUGAAUUUGAUCAUCGUCCCGCUCUUCUUCAUUGGGAAUGCUGUCCCCACCACCUUCUUCACCAGGAAUGCAUGUAGAGUGGCCUGAGACAUGACUCUUCUCAAACAUAAUUUCCCAUUGUUUCAAACAUGGUGGAGGAGUAUAACGGAAUGCCUUUUUCUCACUCUUGAGGUGUCCCUGUACAAAAAAAUAGAGAAGAUACAAACUGAUUAGUCAAUUGCAUAUAGUACAAGAAUUCCAAUGAACAUACACAUGACAGAUUGCUAACCUUUGUGUUUGUCUCCCACCAUUCAUCACUUGUUGUAGGUAUCCCCAAAACAGGAUGCCUUCCAAGGCUAGAAUUGCUCCAAAGCGAUUUCCAAAACCCAUACAAGGUCUUCAAGUUAUCCCAAUGGUUUUUCAGCUGUUUCUCGGUAUAAUUUUUACCUGUUUGAGUAAAAAACUUGUCUUGCAAGUUCUUAUAGCCUCUAUCAUUUAGUGUACAUGAGGCCUAUUCCCAGCUUCAAUCUCCUCAACAACAAUGUUACAAAAAAUUGUAGUCAUUGCAGGAUUUUCCCAAUCUGCUUGGCACACAAUCUUUUCAGUUUCGUUGCUCUUUCCCUUGCCCUUUCCUUUGUUCUCCAUCUAGACAGAGAUUUUUUUUGUUCAUGAUUGCAUACAAAGAUAUCAUUUAACAGAUUGGUGAUUCCAAAUCCUAAUUCAUGAUUCAAAGCUCCUAAACCAUGAUUCCAGGCUACCAUGAUUCUAGAGGAUGUGGUGCUCACCUUGCUGCAGAUCUUGCACAGGGACGAGCAAGGGCCGGGCGACGAGGACGAGCAGGGGCUAGACAAGCAGGGGCGACGAGGGGUGGAGGGAUGGGGCGCGAGUAGGAGGGGGACAGAGGGAGGACGGCGGGCGGCUCAUGCAGGGGCGGAGGGUGGCGAGCGGCGUGUGCAGGGGCGGAGGGUGGGCGGCGUGUGCAGGGGCGGAGGGUGGGCGGCGCGUGCAAGGGUGGAGGACGGCGGGCGGCGCAUGCAAGGGUGGAGGACGGCAGGCGGCACGUGCAAGCGCGGGAUGCGGACAGCGGCGGGAUGCGGAUAGGGUUUCACAGGGGAGGUGGAGGAGGAUGGAGGAAAAAGAAGCAUACUGUUUCGGCACUUUAACUAUGGCAGGUGGGUAAUAACCGUUGAAAGCUCGCUAGAAGCUCCAUUUUUCCUCCUUUCCAGCUUUCCAUUGUAACGUGGCUUUCCACAACUUUUGGUCCACGAAAAGCUACACUCGAAAGCUUGGUGUUUGUUUGGGCUUUUGGCUUCUUCGGCCGAGAAGCUGGCUGAAAGCCCAAAGAAACAGGGCCUGAUAAUCCUUGAUUUUAUUAAUUUGGUAGUAGUUUGUUAUUGCCCAUAUAGAAGCAUGAUUGUUCCUUGUGGAUUCGAUAUUAAACCUCAGAAUACUCUAACACAAAUGGCUACAACAAACACCUGUUGUGCCCUAAUCCGCAUUGCACGUGCAUCCAAAAGGGAUUUGGAAAAGGAUCUGCUCCGGCGAUGGUGGUGAAGAUCAUGCCAUGGAGGCGAUGGAAGGCACGAGGAGGAAUUGGUAUCAGCCAUGCAUGGCGACCGUGGUGACUAUUGGAUUUAAUUGGGCAUAACCAUUUAUCUUCAAUUAAAUCAAAAAAAUUAAAAAGCCUAAGAUUAAUGCUAGGGAGUUACCAAAAGUGAUUAAUUCCACAGGGGAAUUUGAGAAGGUUGUUAAUGAGGAUUGAUGACUCAACUAGAGUUGUUCAUGAGGAUUGAUAACUUAAUUAAUGACGCACUUGUGAGAAUUGAUGACUCAAUUAGACUUGUUCAUGAGAAUUGACACACAAUUAAUGACUCAAUUAAAUAACAAAUUAAGUCCUAACCUUUCUUCUAACUAUAAUGGCAUUUAUUUUUCUCCCAUUACUAUUACAAUAUGAUACCCCUCAUUAACGUAGCAACAUUAGGAUGUUGAAAGGAUUUUGCGAGCAAGAACAUUGUAGAUUAAUCUUGUAGAAAAUCCUAUAUGACAGCGUUGGACCAACCACGACAAACAUGAUUUUGGUGAAGCCAACCACAAUUUUUUUAGGACAACUCCAAAAUAGUACAAGUGAUUGCCGCUCCCUCACAACUGUACUUGGCCCUCUUGUACCCUCUGAUUCUUGCCCUAUACAAGAAAUCCAGUGCUAUUGAACUGUAUAGUCUAAUCCUCUUGAGUGGUCCUAAUAUAAUUGCCCCUUACAAGCAUUGGAUGAGACCUUGUGUUAGCUAUUGGCUUGAUUGAUCCUUAGAGUCUCCACCUCCUUGUUUAUAUAGUCCCCUCCAAAGUCCCCAUACAUGCUAGUAGGAGUCCUCAUAGAACUAAAAAUCCUAAUAGCUGAGUCCUAGUCCAAGUAGAAUUUGAAUCAUCAUACAAUACUAGUUGAUGAUGUACAUAAGUACCAUCGAGGCUCCUAUAUCAGAGAGCGAGGCGUACUCCUCGUGUUCACAUAUAAGCAACCAUAAAUCAUUCAACUUACUUGCAUCCACUACACUCUGUAUUCCCCUCACAAGACUCUGCAUGCAUAGAAGCUUGCAUGAGCAGGCCUCUGGAACCAUGCCCACCUUCAAGAUCCAGCUCGGGAUAGACGGGUGAUCAGGUUUUCGCCGCGUGACUGCUCAGUGGUCAUGUACGUCCCGGAGGACAUUCGUUGCUCAUUGGUUGACUACAUCCACUACUUCUGGAAGGCCACCGUUCAAGGGGCUGCAGCUGAACUCUUCCUGCAUCAACUACGUAUGACUACAUCGAAUAGCCGAGACUGACACAAUGUCCAGUCUUGGAAACAACGCACCCAGUGCCUCUAGUACCAGACCUACCAAUGGGUACACCGGCCUCGUUCGCUUGGCUGCUGCGUUCGGCUUCUGGCUGCUGCGGCAGAGAGCUGCUGCGUGCUGCAGCUGCUGCGGCAGAGAGCCGAGCAGCAGCAGCCAGCUGCAAAGCAGCCAGCCGAACGAGGCCACCCUUCUCCGGUUCUUUUAUUUGUUCAUGUUAAAUAGGAGUGUAAUCAUGAAUACUUGCGCAUACUAUGUUGUCACUAGAUCACUGAAUAAUGUCAUGUUUUAUCUAGUAUAUUUUGGAUUUAAAAAUAUGCUGUAAACGGUGGCUGGGGGAAGUUCAUGGUGGCCUCGAAGGCGAUGGUGCUCCAAAACCCUGAGCAGUGUGAUACAACGCACCUUGAAGAUUGAAAGGUGCCUUUUCUUAACUCGAGCACGGUUUUCUAGUGUAGUUUCAGCAUGGUAACUACUAAUUUGUUUAGUCGAUGUGUGCAGUUUUUAUUCUAGUCAUUGUGUAUCUAGUAUAGUUUGUAGCAUAAUUUGAGUAAAACACUAAGGCUUAAUAAGGUGGUGGUAAAGAAAAUAAAGACCUACCAUUUUUAUAAAAAAUAGAAAAAUGUUAAUUUAAGCAACAUUGUAAUUAUUAAUAUAUUGUAUUCCUAACUACUAAAGCAACUUGGUCCUCAAAAACAAACUACUAAAGCAACUUGUAGGUGAUUAAUCCUAUCUUAUUGCUAGGAAUUAUAACCCUGACAUAGGCGGUACUAAACCUUUGGUGCAACCAUCGAAUGAUGGUAAAUGGUUUAAUGUAUCUACUUCUUUCAAGAUACAAGCCGAGAUGGUAGAGAUAUCAAAUUGAAGCCCCAGGAAACAGGUCAACAAUCAAAUGUAGUAUCGAAACUUCGAAAGAACCGCCAUGGAACAUGCCAUGGAAGAGCUUCAGAAUAUUAGAUGUGUCGUGCCUGACUAAAGGUAUUUUCUAUUGAAAGCACUUGAAGAUGGUUAAGAUGAUGUUGCCUUGGCCACUCUGAUAGGCUGGCUCAGAAGGUAUCAUUUUUAAUUAACCACGUCUCCAGAUGCAUAACCUUUAGCCUAUUAUGUUUCCAUGGCGAUUUUACUCGUAUGCUUGUAGUAGAAAGGGUUGGGUUGGCAAAAGCUGCACAUCAACUAGCUUAUGGCAUAUAUAUCUUACUGCAAGCUUUACGAGGAGAAGGUUGGGUUAGAGAGAUAUGCAGCAGUAUUUUCUCGUUUCCUUCAUAGUCAGGACGCUACUUCUAUGUAUGACGGGUUUACAAUCUAUGGUCGGGCACUCCCCACGCAUGAAGCUUUGGCCAGCGCACAUGUGAACUACUUCAUCUCAACAAAUUUCCCUGUGCAUAGGUACUGUCAAACUAGCGAGUUUUUAUUGUGUUGAGAAUUCUGUAAAUAGAAGUAGCCAAACUUUCUGUUUGUGAAAUAUCUUAUACUGCACUGCAUUCAAGUUCUUCAUAACAACACUAUUCUUUUUGGGGUUCAGUUUACACUGAGAACAAUCAUGUCCCAUUGACCUCAAAUUGACGAUAAAAUGUCAUCCAAAUUGGUCAUCACGAGGAGAUGCUCCUCAUGUACAUAGCACCUGCCAAAAUUAAGAUUAUUGGAUUUCACUACCAUAGAACACUCACAAAGCAAUAGCCGAACAAAAACUUACUCUGACAGCCCCCUCCGCAAACUAUCUGUUGGUAAUAAGUAGGGAAGCAAAAGCCAUCUGCGAUAUUGUCCUAGUCGGAUCCCAUAAGAAACCGACCGUAAUGACUCACCUUAUCCAGACAAUCCUUAACAUGAAUAUACUCCCUCCGUUUAUAUUUAUAAUUAUAAGGCAUGGUAUGACUUAGCACGGUCCUCCAAAUAACACUUUGGCCAUUCAUUUACAUGAUAUUGUUUAUGGCUAUAAACUUAUGAUCAUUGUAGAGGAUAUUUGAUUACGAAUUCAACCAUAUAAAGUUUACAUUAUAAAAUAAAAAAAUAAUAAUUAAAAUAUUGGUCAAAUAUUGCAAAGUUUGAAUCUUGAUAUGGGCGUGCACCUUAUAAAUAAAAAUGUAAAUAAAAAUGUAGGGAGUAGGAAAGAGGUUCAAUUACCAAGAAAGAUUCUUGCAAACAAUAUCCUAGGCUUUGAGCUUAUCUAGAAAUUUUGUAAGGUGGGUAUUAAACACUUUAUCCUAUUGCAACCGUGGGGCUGAAGGUUCCUUAUCUAGGUUGCAAUUCCUUACAUCAGCUUUGAGUUUCCCAUCAAAGAUGACCAUGUCAGUCGAGGCUAAACUCUAAACCCUAAAGUAUCUGCUAUCCUUCUUAUCUAGGUAUACUACCGGUCAAGGCUAAGGAAGGGAGGCCUGCGUGAUGCAGCCAUGCUCGACAGAUGAGGCGGCUCGGCUGAAAACCGCGUCUUCCCCGUAAAAACACCAUCAUUACGGGUGACUGGACAAGGCUGAGCGCCUAGGUGGGAUGUCAGCGGCCUCAUCCGUCCCACCCAAUAGGGAGGAGGGCACGCGCAUGUUGAUGGCAGUUAGCACACCAAUUUGUGAAUCACAAGUGCACGAAUCAUCGUAACUUUUCCCUUAGAAUAGUCCAUCCAAGGUUCAUCAAUCCGUGGAUCGGCAGCAAACUUGCUAGGGUUUUCUAUCUAGUCUAAUGGAUCUAUCCUAACAUGAAGCAUAGAUUGCAUAUGAAGGCAAACUUGUUGUAAAGAUGGAUAUCAUGAAUAAGGGUAGAUCACAUCCACAAAUAUAUAUGAUAUAACACCACAAAGGGUAGCAAGAAACUAUCAUCUUCUAGUUGUAGUUCCAUCUAACGAGAAAGCACAUCAUCCAUCUCAUCCAAAGCAAUCUUUAAACUACUACCUCCAGUCAACCUUCCAAAAACCCCCACCUUACACGGAAGCAAACCCCGUCACGAUCCCCCCUAUCUGCGCAGGCAGUUUAAGGGCACGAACACAGAUGAACAUGUCUAGCUAUCAAGAAGGGAUAAUAUACUAGAUCUAAUCACCAUGAUUACAUAAAUCAUGCUAUGUAGUCUAAUCAAGAAGGGAUAAUAUACUAGAUCUAAUCACCAUGAUUACAUAAAUCAUGCUAUGUAGUCUAAUCGCAAAUUAGACUGAGGAAUAAGCAUAUUCAUGAUAAGUAGAAAGUCUAAAAGGAGGCAUUGAGUCGCUAACAGAUCGGAUAACAAGAAGAACAUUGCUCACAUAAUAUAUGUAUUUAGAUCAUCACCUCCAAGUACAUACCAUUCAUGAUCACAACUAGCUCCUGAACUCCACCAUGGCACAACCGCGCAGGGAGGCCAUGGUGGCUAUGGUCGGCCUAAGCCACCUCCUAGACAACUCCGAAGACUUGCGGCGGUCUUCCGCUCCCUCUGGUGGAUGAAUGCCAUGUGCCGAUGAAAAUUGGGCAUAUUGAUAGUCCAGAGGUGCCGUGGGGCGAAGGCCACGUCAAUCGGGCCAAAAACGGGCUAAGCCGAUCAGCCUAGGCAAUUUUGCCACCUUCUCAGCCUCAAAUGCCAAAACUUUCUACACUAAAGUUGUAGAUCUUUUCAAGCCAUGCAAUUUAGACACCAAAUUCACCCCAAUCGAAGUUCUAACAAGGGAGAUAUUCCUCGUGCAAGGUCGGCUACUUCUGCGGGCCUUCUGACCUUCCAAUUUUAAGUUUCUCUUAGCUUGACCACGAGAUUGACUUGCCAAAUCACCACAUACUUCACCUCUAAGUCAUCUGGAAUGAUGGUUCAUCAAAUGUGGAUGCAUUUGGAUGAUGAAUUGGUCCAGGUCGAUCGGCCUAUGGGUCCUGGGCCAAUCGCCUACCCUCUUUUGGUCUCCGCUGGUUCUCGUCUUUCUUGUGUAGACUUCUUGUGUUAGUCGAAAGUCCAGAUCCAAAUCCGACUUGUAGAAAAAAAACCCUUCAUUUAUGCCGUAUUUCUUGUGAUUUUGCAAUAUGAUCUAAAACACAACACAUAUGCGGAUAUGGGGUUAUUUCAGGUAUCAAGUGGCAGGUUAGUAUAAGAAUAUACAUGAAAACACUAUUAAAAUGACACUAAAAGUGUGUCAAUAACGAGCGUCAAUAGCGCAUUCCUACAACUACCCAGUACCUUUUACAGAAGGAGGGGCCAUGUCUUGUGCCCAAGGGGAAGUAGGCCCUCCCUAGGAAGGAACCUAGUGACAGGAUCUAACACUGACCGCCCCGGAACGGUGGGCCUAGGAUCCUCUAGGCAAGGAAGAGGAAACAACAUUGAUGCCGCCCCCUCGACAUAAAAUGGUAAAAAAUGGGAUUAACGCGCAAAGGACCUGGGUGAAGCCCCGGAUACAUGCGAAGCAAGACUAGGGGUGUCAAGGAUAGGACCCCUAGACUGGGCACUGUAGCAAGGAGGGUGGAAAAUGGGCCGCCGCAUUCACAUGUAAGGUGGCAGGGAGGAUUACUUGCCAAGGCUUCCUCUCCCCUCCAACCAUGGGCAUUGUCUAAAAUAGACCAAACCUGUCUAAUGAAAGGGCAAGCAACAUUGAAUCACUACCCACAGGACGUAGGGUGUUACGCUAUUACGAGCGGCCCGAGCCUAUCUAAAAACCCUCGUCUGUUAAGCCCAUACUUCCUCCUAGGAUUUUCCCAAGAAUUUGCGUACUAACCCCCAGGUUGGAUCUCUAAAAGGGCGUCCCAUCGGAUCCCCGCUCUCGGUGCUUGACCAUCGUCAGAUAUAUAGUGGCACUAAUUAAUAAUGAGCUAGUUCAUCAACCCAUGUUUCUCCACAGGUUAAUAAGUUUUAAAAAUCAUGGUAUUAUAAAGCUAUUUAAAAAUUAAGUUCUCUAUUUAAUAAUCAAAAUUAUUUAUCUAUGACUCUCAUUUAUUUAAUAUUCUAACACAAUACUCUAGUUUUGAAUGACUUUGGUUAUUAAUCACUCUAUACACUUUUCAUCUACAUUCAUACUUUUUUCACUUUACAACGCACCCUACAUACAAUAUGUUUAACAUGAAAAUCAAUACUUUUCAUCCCUUCCUCCCAUAAAUGUAUAAAUGGCCUACACGGUGGCACAUCAUGCAUAUAUACUUCAACUUAGUAUUACUAUAUUAACAACGAUAGAAAUAAGUAAUUUAGAAUCAUAUUUUUAUUUACUUUUGGACAUUCUGGUACAAUUAACAUGCAUAUAGUUAGAUUAAGAUUUAGGUGUUUACUUCAGAUAAUUUUUAAUAACAACAUACGUGGGUAAUUUAGAUAAAAAUUUAAAAGACAUUUUAAGUUAAUUUUAUGGUGACAUGUAUGGAUAAUAUAGAUGAAGAUUAUGUAUCAUUUUCAAUUAUUUUUUAUAAUGCAAAGGUGGGUAAUUUAGAUGUUGAUUUAGGGUUUAAUUUAGAAUAUUUUAUAAUGAUAGUGGUAGGUAAUUUUUUUAGAAAAUAUAAUAGACCAAUGACUAUGAUUAUUUAGUCUACAGCAUUGAUAUCCAUAUGUUUUGGUUUUUGUGAAAAUUUCCUAGCACAUCUUGUGAAAAUUAAUGCGGAGUCUCCGAUUGAAAAAAUAAGGGCACAUAGCUAACAAUCAAAACUGUUAUCUUGAGCUCUCUCUCAUUUGUGAAAUAUGCUAACAUAAUAAUUAUAUAGAUAUAUAAUUGCUAUAUUCAACCAAUUGUGAAAUAUUUUAGUUAAUAAUUACUUUAUAACAUUUUUGUCCACAUUUAGAAUCUUUCUGUUUUCACUUUGCAUCCUAGGUAUAUAGCUUGAAUCUGUUUAAUGGAAAUCUAUAUUCUCUCAUGAAAGAGCCUCUAGCCUAGUGGUUAGAGCACUUGAGUAGCAUCUAGCAGACCUGAGAUCGAUUCCCCAUGGUAGCGAAUUAAACAGGACUAGAAUAAAAAAAUUAUAUCCUCAUCACUUACUCUAUAUAUUUAUAAAUGGUGACACACAUUAUGUGUAUAUACCUUAAUUAUUAUUAUCAAACCAAUAGUGUAAGAAAUAGUUAAUUUAAAAUCAUAUAUCAGUGUAUCUAUGGGUAUAUAGCAUAUGUGGGUAAUUUAGAUGCAAAUUUAAAUGGUUACUUUAAGUUGUUUUUUAUAAUGUUAGGGAUUGGAAAUUUAGAUGCAAAUUUAGAGGUUAUUUAAAUUAUUUUAUAUAAUGGCAUAAAUGGGUAAUUUAGAUGGAGAUUAGGGAGUUACUUUAGUUUAUUUUAUAUCACUACUCCACAGAUCGUCAUCACCACUGGCUCCAAAACCCCCUUCACCGCCAGCUAAGGAUCCAUCAUAUCCAAUUCGGCACUGAUGGGGGUACCCCAUCACCGCCGGUUCCAUGUCCUCCAUGCAGACUACACCAUCAUGCACCAUAGUCUCCAUAUCAGAUACGUCUCGGUGUCCAGCCUCAUAUUUAGAACUAUCCAAACUCAAGUACUUUUUAGUCAAAUGUAAUAGUUCUGAGUACUUUUGCAGACUUCACCGACUAGUUCUUGGUGCUCUUCGAGUACUUCAUCUGGUUGAAUCUUCAAAGGUACUAAAAAACUGCCAUGCGACUAGAAUGUGCUCAAGCCUUAUUUGACUCAGUCUUGUAUCCUCUAACCUUGAAUUCUAUAUGGAAGUGUGACAAAAGUUGCACUCCAUAUAGAGUAGCCCCCCAACCUUAGGUUGAAUCAAAGAAUCAAUAAUGUAAGAAAUAGUCAAUUUAAAAUCAUAUAUCAGUGUACCUAUGGGUGUAUGGUAUAUGCGGGUAAUUUAGAUGCAAAUUUAAAUGGUUACUUUAAGUUGUUUUUUAUAAUGUUAGGGAUUGGCAAUUUAGAUGCAAAUUUAGAGGUUAUUUAAAUUAUUUUAUAUAAUGGCAUAAAUGGGUAAUUUAGAUGGAGAUUAGGGAGUUACUUUUGUUUAUUUUAUAUCACUACUCCACAGAUCGUCAUCAUCGCCAGCUCCAAAACCCCCUUCACCGCUAGUUUAGGAUCCGUCAUAUCCAAUUCGGCAGUGAUGGGGGUACCCCAUCACCACGGUUCCAUGUCCUCCAUGCAGACUACGCCAUCCUGCACCAUAGUCUCCAUGUCAGAUACGUCUCGGUGUCCAGCCCCAUAUUUAGGACUAUCCAAACUCAAGUACUUUUUAGUCAAAUGUAACAGUUCUAAGUACUUUUGCAGACUUCACUAACUAGUUCUUGGCGCUAUUCGAGUACUUCAUAUGGUUGAAUCUUCAAAGGUACCAAAAAAAUAUCAUGCGGAUAGAAUGUGCUCAAUCCUUAUUUGACUUAGUCUUGUAUCCUUUAACCUUGAAUUCUGUAUGGAAGUGCGACGAAAGUUACACUCCAUAUGGAGUAGCCCCCGAGCCUUAGGUUGAAUUGAAGAAUCAGGCUGAGGGUCAAUCUGAAAUUUGCAUCACUUUCCCCUAAAAACCUAGAGAAAAAACUUUUUUAUCGAUGGGCACGUGGCACGCAGCCCCCGAGCCUUUAUCCAACUAGUUUAGUGGGUAUAAGGGUCAAUCUCUGGUCAACGUGACCAUCUUUGAACGAAAAUAUUAUCUCUUCCGGAAAGAAAGGUAACUGCCAAUCAGGUGCUGCUGAAUCUGUGGAUCCGUUAAACUUGAAUAUUCCUUUAUUCGUGUUGUUGUUACUACGCCGCAAUUAUAAAUAAUGGAGGAAAUCAUCCCUUCCAUUUUACCUUUGUCAUCUGCCUUUCCAACUCCCACACUUUAGCCCCAGCGCCGCCGCUGCCCGAUCUCCGAGCGCUAGCGCCACCGUCCCCCACCACUCAACCCCCGAGCAUAUGCGACAGAAGAAAUUCGUGAUAUCAAGGAUGGGGAGGAAAGCUGCUGCUGUCAAGCCUGCCAUGGAGGAGAAGAAGAAGAAGUCUGAAAAGAAGAAGGAGCCGCAGUUGCCAACACCCAAGUACAAAAAGAUGGAUCAAACUACGCCGCCAACUCCUGCUUGUGCUUGGAAGCUGUCACCUUUGAAGGAGGAGAUCAAGGUGCUUGUGGCCGCCAAUCUGCUCCAAGAUCAAGACUUCAUCAAUUAGAGAUCUGCCUGCAGCAAUCCAUGGCACUGGAGGAAUACCCAGAUGAAACGGUACUCUUCGCUCACUUCAUCGAGCGUGGUCAUGCAUUGCCAGCAUCUGAUUUUUUCCGGGGCCUGCUGGAGUAUUAUAAGUUGGAGUUGGUUCAUCUAAACUCCAACGGAAUUCUACAUACUGCUAUUUUUGUGCACCUCUGUGAAGUGUUCUAGGGAUCAGGCCCCACUUCCAACUAUUCUGGAAAUUUUUCCAUGAAAAGCCGCAACCAAAAAGGGAGCAUACCCAAGUAGUCAGAGGUGCUAGUAUCUAGAUGCGGGAGAAGCUUAGCAGCCUGUACCUGGAUUAUGAGCUGAUAGAUUCAGAUGCUAGGUGGAAGGAGAAGUGGUGCUCCAUUGGCAACCACGAUCCCAAACUACCCAAGCUGAAAGGACAUCGCUCCACCUGGAACAACCGGUGGCUGGAUGAGCCAACUCAUGGGGAUUGCCUCCAAUGACCCAAGCUCCUGGACAAAAUAGCAAGACUGAAGCAAGAAGGGCUCACUGGAGUUGGAGUAGCCUUCAGCUUUAUGAAGCAGCAAAUCCAGCCCUUGCAGUAGCGAUGCCACUGGGGCUACGAGUACACUAGUGUCAAUGACCCAUCUAGAUUGUCUCCUGAGGAGCUCAGCACAGAGGAAAUCAUGGUGAGGCUGAGGCAAAUGUUCAAGAAUGUGAGCGAUAUCCCCACCAUUGUGUGAGAAUUUUGUGCUGCCAACCCACCAAAGCCUGUAAGUACCUAUGGUCAAAGCCCUGAGUACUUAAUUGGAGUUAUUGCUCUCUGCUAACUUGUCUUUCUUUGCAGGAAGAUAUCAAUUUGUACUUCUCUAUUCCUCCUCCUUUUGGAUUAGGAGAUAUUUGUGAAGUUGCUCCUCGUGUGCAUAUGCGGAGAGUGAUAAUGAGGAAGAGGAAGUACUCGAGACCUCCAACAGCUCUAGUUCUGAUGCUAUGAAGGACUUUGAAAUCAAGGCCCAGCCAUCUGAUAAGGCCGGGUCAUCCUCUGGAUCGAUGAAGUGCACAGCUAAUGAAGAUCUUAAAGCUGCAAUUCCUCCACCACAAAAGAAGAAGCGGUCCAUUGCUGCAAAGCGGGCCAUAAAGAAGUCUGUCACCGCAGAAGAUGUGCCUCCCACACAAUAUAAGGUGAGGUAGGGACCCCCUCCAAAGCAAUUCAAUCCAACCAACACUCGGGACAUAGGGUAUUAUGCUAUUCAGCGGCCUGAACCUAUCUAAAUCGUGUGUCUACGUUUACCUUUGACUUCCUGAUCUCGACGAGCCCCACUAACCAAAACACUACCUCGGGCACCCCCUCGGUAGGUUGCUGGGUUUAAACACCGACAGCCCCGUAGCCCCGCCGUCACCUGCACGUUGCCCCACCGCCGAAGCCUGGAGCACCAUAGCAAUGCUAGAUCCGCCCGCUGCAGGAGCCCAGAGCACCACUGUAGUGCCAGAUCCGGGAGAGGGAAGGGAGGGGAGGUGCGGGAGAGCGCCAUGGUGGUGCCGCCGCCGUCAACCCUGGAGAGAGAGAGAGAGAGAGAGAGAGAGAGAGAGCACCAGGACGGCCGCCGGAUCUCGUCGCCGGGGGAGAGGAAACCGAGGCCACACCCCGCCGAGGCCGCACCCGCCACCGUGGAUCCCCACUGCAAAUCUAAUGCCCGCCACCAUGGAUCCCCACCAUGGAUCCUAGCCCACCACCGUGCAACCCCAUUGCAGAUCCUACACGGGCUGCUGCUACUUGCCCCAUGUGCUGCCGCCGCUUCUCGCCCCGCCGCCGCUCCUCACUACCACGAGUGAGGGGCGAGUGAAGGGGGGAGGACAGGAGCAGCUGAGGGAGAGAGGGAGAGGGCUAGCGGUAGAGGAAGCCAACAGGAGAGAAGGAGGGGGCGGCGGUAGAGGAAGCCUGUAGGAGAGAGGAAGGGGGCUGGCAAAGGGUGGGAGGGAGCCAACGGGAGAGGGAGAGAGGGAAGGGAGGAUGGUGGCGGAGGGAAAGGGAGUGCGGGGGGAGAGAGGGAAGGUGAUAGGGUCGGGAGUGCAAGGGGAGAGAGGAAAGGUGAGAGGUAGUGCGGGGACGGACGCGAGGCUCAGUCCAAAUCGAAGUGAAUAAAAAUUUCAGGUCCGGGAACCACCCAUCACCACCGGUUUGUAAUACGAGCUAGGGCUCGCAUUACAAAAAGGUGGUGAUGGUUUCUUUCACCACCAGUUUUAGUGUUCCAUAGCCCCAUUUACUAUAAAACCGGUUGGGAUACUCUAUCACCGCUGGUUUUAUAUUAACCGGUGGUGAUAGGCCAUCAGGGAUGGCUCAUUCUGUAGCAGUGUAUAAUUGUAGAAGGGGAUUUAAUAUAGAUUUAGGGGUUACUUUAGGUUAUUUUCAUAAUGGCAUGGGUGGGUAAUUUUUUAGAAAACAUAAUAGAUCUAAUGGCUAUGAUGAUUUGAGUCUACCGAAUUGAUUGCUAGAUGUUUUGCUUUUUGAGAGAAUUUCUAGGAAUUCUCUCUUUUUUUAGAUUGUCCACCUAGAAUUUCUAGGUAGCUUCAUGUGGAGGUCUCAAAAGAAACCUCCAAUUAGUAAUAGUAAGAUAUCGUCUAAAGAAAUCUACAAUGCGUAUGGCAUGCAUUGGCUUUCGUCAGCCAGUCAACAAUACAACUUCACCUCGUAGUACUAACUAAAGUUCGAAGGGAGUUGAAUAAAAAUAAUUAGGAUCUCCCAUGCAUACGCAUGACUUUAAUUAGUUUCCCAUGUUCUCCUUCCUUUCAUGCAAGCAUGCUUUCUCCCAAGAGGUAAAGUCACUAAGAAACCAUGCACCCAUCUUGCUUGAAAUUCUUGCCGACCUAUAUGUCACUACUAGAAAACUGAGCAUAUGUCCAACGCGUUAGUACUGGAUGCCUUUUUGUUAGUACCGGUCGUCACGCACAGUGCCAUCGAAGCCCCUGUAGUACCGGUUUGGAGCCUCAGCCAGUACUAAAUGGUAGCACGUGGAUCGCAUGGCCGACAGCUAGAUUCCCAAGGAAGUCAUUUAGUACCGACUGGUGGCUUCAACUGGUACUAAAUGGUGAGAAUGUCAUUUAGUACUGGCUAAUAGCUUCAACCAGUACUAAAUGAAACCAUUUAGUAUCGGUUGAAGCUAGCACCAAGUACUAAUGUCAACCAUUUGCUCUAUAUAUAAAUGAGCUACUUCCUUAGCUUCCUCCCCAGCAAGCUCACCACUCGACCAGUUUCUUCACUAGACCAGUUAGCAACUUUAUUCUCCCUCCUCUGGUCAUAGUAUUUUAGGUUUUUUUUGAAUGAGUUAGUUUUAUGUUACUGUUGACGCCAGAUUUCGUCACUAGUAGAAUCGGCGCCAAGAAGAAGGGGAAUUGGAGAAGCACAGUUGGGAAUCGGCCAAAUGGUGCUAUAGUGCGAAAUCGGCCGGUGACCUUUGUCUCGCUUUAGGCCGAAUGCAUCAGAGUCCCAAUCGGUAAUCUUCUGCCGAUAAGGAAUCGAUCGAUUAGGAGGAUGGACUAAUUGGGCCUGUAUGGGCUUGGAAAGAGAUGGAAGGAUAAGGUGGAGGUUAGCCCACGAAACGUGGAGUAACUAACCUAGCACGAAUUGUGCUUGUAGAUAUUCGUUUUCUAUUUGAAUUAGGGAUAGAAUUCUAGUCGGUUAAGGAGAUAUAUGUACGGGGCUAUAAAUAGCUGCCUUUGUGAAUCUGUAAUCAGCAACCAAUCAAUACAACAAACUACUUUUUCCUCGUACUUACCUUCAAGCAGGCGACUUCGCCAUUACUUUCCUCUUUUUCACGAGUUCGUGCGGGUUGGCAGGGCUGCAUCAUCUUGAUCUCCGGCCGAUUCUGUAAGUUCCGCUUAUCGAGUAAUAUCUAAGCUUUAACUUCGGGCGCAUCACUGUUGUUUCGUUUAGAUUUAUUCACUAGUUAUCGAUAUUUGCUAGAUUCAUAGGUUUUACCUGUUUUUCUAGUCUUUAUCACCAGUUAUCCAGCUAGGAAUCGGUAGUGUCGGCUCUCUUUACUUCCUGUUGUUAAAUUCAUCUAUUGCCGAUUAGAUCUAUUUCUAGUAUUGUUAUCAUAAGCUCUGUACCGAUUACUCUAGUAGUUCUCUGUCUACAAGGCUAUAGUGAUCGGCUGCUUCAUAGCCGAUUCCUUUAUUAACGCAAAUCGGCCGAUUCGCUGAUAAGCUCCUUCGAGAUCGGAAACUUAGCCGAUCGUGAUCUCUAAACCUGACACGUAUUCUUCCUUGCCAAUCAACAGGUCAGAUUGGCUGGCACGCUGCGCGAACCGCACCAGGGCAUUCACUCGAACAGGAGCUAAGCAGAUUCUCCCGGGUCGUGUGUCGGUCGCUGGGGUUCGGUUGACCGAUUUCUAGCGCCAACAGUUACAAAUGGAGUACUUGUUGCUUUAUUAGAGUGAGGAGAAUGGAGAGUUUUUUACAUUGAGUUUUAUGUUACAAAUGGAGUACUUGUUGAUCUUUUAGAAUGAGGAGAAUGAAGAGUUUUUUGGAGUGAGGUGAAUGGGGAGUUUUUUAUAAUGAGUUUUAUGUUACAAAUAGAGUACUAGUUUGUUGAUCUUUUAGAACAAGGAGAAUGGAUAGUUUUUUAGAGUGAGAAGAAUGGAGAGUUUUUUAGAAUGAGUUUUAUGUUACAAAUGGAGUACUUGUUGAUCUUUUAGAACCAGAAGAAUGGAGAGUUUUUUAGAGUGAGGACUAAAUAUUAUAAACACAUUUACUCUAUCUUUUCCCAACCUAAUAUUGAUCAAAUUCUUUAUAUAAUAUGAAGCUCUACGUCCAUUUGUCACAUAAUAUGAUGCAGAUGGACCGACAAUGGAUGUAACACAUCUGCUCCUCCAAUACCAGAGAACAGAAGAACUUAGAGUCCACAAACUCUGGUUGAACAUCAUAAAAGAAUCUUCAAAUAGUUUUCCAAACACCUUUUGGAGCCAGAUUUUCAUAAUAGAAGUAUGGUGACCAAUAGCCGGUUCAGGCAGAGAUUUUUCACUGACCUUGACCCAUCAGCUUAUAGUUGGUUUUGGACUGCCAAAAUAGGCCAUGCUCAGUGAACAGGUCUUUUGCCUGGAUAGGCUAUUGGGCCACCAUACUUCUAUUAUGAAAAUGUAGCACUUGCUCCAAAAGAUGUUUGGAUAAUUAUUUCAAGGUUCCUUUAUGAUAUUCAGCCAAAGUAGGUGGACUCGUAGAUCUCAUGUUGUACCAUUAUUUUAGGAUUGGUGUAUCUUUGUGUCUCCCAAAUUAACGGUCGUGAUGUGGAUGAUGAUAUGUUUAAAUAUCUCAUUUAUGUAAGACUUAAUAUAUGCGCUAGAUUAUGUCAAUAGGUUCUUAGGAAUCGGCAUUAUCGAUAUAAAUCAUAGUUCGUAUGUUGUGAUGAUUAACGGUCACCAUGUGGACGAUCCUAGGUUCUAAGUAUCUCAUUUAUGUAAGAUUUAAUAUGUAUGAUGAUUUUUUAUCUCUACUAUUUCAUAUAUAUACAUAUAUACAUGUGACAACCUUGUGGUAAUGAUUAAAACAUUUUAUUAGAAUUAAGACAGUGUGCGCGGGAAAGAAAACUGCUGGAGGCGGACAGUUUCAGCUCCUGCCAAUUUGGCAACUUUAGUACUGGUUGGAAGCAUGUCUGGUACUAAAUGGAGGAAUUUAGUAUUGGGCAAAGGCUGGAACCAAUACUAAAUGCUCCUAAUUUUAGAUCCUGCCAUUUAGCAACUUUAGUACCGGUUGGGAGCCCUGCCCGGUACUAAAUGGAGGAAUUUAGUACCGAGCAAAGACUAGCACCAGUUCUAAAGUGUCCCACCUACAAAUACUUUUUCUUCUCCAAACACUUAGCAGUUUCCAAAAAUUAGCAGUUCCUCCCUCUGCAUCGCGACGGCCCCAUCCCGUCGCCCUCACCCACCACCGCCGCCCCGUCGCUGUCGCCAUCGCCGUCGCCAUCAUCUGCCGCCGCCGCGCCGGUCCUGUCCAUGUCCCCGUCUCUAUCGCCAUCGCCGCCGCCCCGUCCCAUCCCCGUCCCCGUCUCCAUCAUCGUCAUUGUCGCCCGUUGCCCCGUCCCGGCUCCGUCGCACGUCGCCCCCGCCGUUGUCGUCGUCGCCGUCGCCCUGUCCCCGACCACUGCCACCCCGUCCCCAGCCACCAUCCCCGUCAUCACGCCUCUCCCUCCCCCGCCUCCCCCGCGCGCUGCCGCGCCUCCCCUACGUGUCCUCCCCGGUUAGGUUUUCUUUUUUUUCGAUAUUUUUGAUUUUGAUGCAUUAAAAUGGUUUUGCUACUCGUAUUGAAUUAAAAUGGCUAUGAUUUUGCUUCAAUUGGAUACCAAUUUGUAUUGGAUGCUAAGUAAUUAUUUUUUGUGAUACAAUUAUGGCAUAAAGCUAUAUCUCUUAGAGGACAUGUAGUAUUUUAAUGUAUAUGAUGUGCGUAUAUGACAAUGUAUUAUUGGUGGCAAAGUUGACUAGUUAAGAGAAAUGAUGGCAAAUUAUCUUAUCACAAUUUUAUUUGGACAGUUUGGGCUAACAAUGGCAGUGAAAGUUCUUCUCGCCAUGGUGGUGGUGGUCGUGGAGGUGGCCGCCGUGGUGGUGGCGACCAUGGACACUACAUGUUCGAGGAGCCACCGUUAGCUUGUCCUCCAGGAAUUCACUUCUCUAAUCACAUCAUUGACUUGCCAAAAGGCGAUCGAAGCAGAGAAACAAUUCCCAACAUAGUAAUAUUCUUUCCUUCUUAUAAUUGCUUUUUUUACUACACAUGAAUAAUUCCUAAAUUUACUUACAUACAAUGUAGCUUAUUGACAAUAUUAGAUGGCUAAAAGAUGUUGUCAAAGCUCUAGGUGGUACUUCUCCAUUAGUGAAAUCCGAGAUAGUUGGUCCACGGAAUUUUAAAAGAGUAAAAAUCUCUUUUCAAGUACCUAUUCGAUAAGCACAAGCCAACCGGAUGAGAGUACCAGGACAGCCCAUCCCGAUGGUUUCAAUUGCCGUAUGGGGUCAAUUAGCACCUAGUAGGGUAACUUUUGAAAGGACACACGUGGAGGCGUAGAGGCCUGCCUACAACAACUUAAGGAUCAUGGGUACUUUGUGCCAGACUUCUCAUAUUUUCGAAUAAAGGCGCUCGAGAAGGAAGAAAGCAAUAUGACUAGGACUACUAAGAGGCUUUGUCAGCUAAAUCAACAUGACAUGGUAUGGAACAUAUAUCUAAUCAUCCUUUUAUCUUUAAUUAUAUUACAUUUUUUAAAUUUCUUCACGUUAUUCUCUUCUUUUAGGAUAUCUUUGGUCAAACCUUGGUGGCAAUGAGCUUUCAUGCGAUUUUGGCUCAAGUCUUGGAUGUGUUGAAUUAUAGUUACAUCAAUGGAAACUCGAUAUGCACCAGAGAUUUCAAGCUCCAGGCUCAUCUCACUUUCUACAUGCCAUUUUAGUUGACGUCGUCUCUAUUGUUCGAGAUUUAUGGUAGUGCAUGUGACCAUCCAUGUGAAGCGCAAGAGAGUACACUAAUUCAUGCUCUACCUUAUAUUGAUGAAGUUCUAGGCUUUACGAUUGGAGACUUAAGCUAUGUGGCAUAUCUAUGUAAGCGAAGCGAAUUAUUAAAUAUGUUGCAUGCAUGGAUGUACUCCUACCGUACACUUUUCUUAUGGAUUUUGUUCUCUCUAGGACCUUAAGUAUUGAUGUACGAACUAUUGAGUGUUAAUGAUUUGAAUGGGUUGAUGCAUGUGAUACUUGGAUUUGAAUGGGUUAAUAUAUUAAUGUAAUAUUAUUAGUAAAAGUUCCAUUGAAUAUGAAUACGAAUUAAAACAAAAGGGUAAUCAAAAUAAAGGAAUAAACUUUAGUAGCGGUUAGUAAAACCAACCGGUACUAAACUGCUGUCCGCAACAGCGCGACGUGGCUCACAAUUUAGUACCGGUUGGUAUUACCGGCCGGUACUAAAUGGCGCUUAGUACCCGGUCGGACACCCGGUACUAAAGGGGGUUACCGACCGGUACUAGAAGUCGAUCCUCCAAUAGUCUGUGUUUCCCUUUGUGAAGCGCGCACACGCGCAAUUGCAUGGUGGAUUCUGCCGCAUCCCACUGAAAACUAGAGCAUUACACGAGACAGAACGAAAAGUGUACUUUGAGGUUUAUCCACGUGCAAAUAUGCAUUGCGAGCCAAAAUAAAGUUGUUUGACAAUGACACCACACUUGGUGUACAUCUUUGAGUACCGAGCAAGCGUGCAUGUAAUAUGGUCACAGGCCAAAACAAUGAACGCCAUACAUCAGGUGGCGUUAUCUGGGUUUGAAUCUUCCUCUCGGAUCCAGAUCUGCUCAAGUCCUUCAAUAAUACAACACUGCAAAUCCAUUCGUGCUCAAUGAUUCGAUCGGGUCUUUCCGGUGAUGGAUUUGGAAGACCACAUCACCACUACUGAAAGAAAAUUAAAUGGCUUUAUGAGCGUGCGCGGCAGAAGUCUCUUUUUAUGACCAAUUCUUUGAGCUCUUCUCUGGUCCUCUGCAGAUUCUUAGUCAGAUUGAUGGUUCAAAAGAAGUGUGCAAUUCCUACAAAUGUAAGGAAUGAUCAUUCUUUCGUCUUCUUUCAACUCUCUCACCAACUGCCGUUAUCGCAUGCACGCUAGAGUCUUCUUUCUGCACGUGAGCACCUUGGUCCCUGGCCGCUUUUGUCGAUAGUGAAGUGCUACCGACGACUUUAAGUUCAUCCAUUUCAUGCGUAAUUAUCAAGUUGCGAUAAUUAAAUUUGUAAAAGUUAGGGAGGUUCUAAUUUACCAAGAUAUUUUUAUCGAAACAAAUGCACAACUAGCUAUAUGGCACUGAGGUGCCACCAAAUUAUUCAGGGAUAGAGAUCGAAACGGUUAGAAAAAGGUCUAAAUGUCGGUUCGCUUUUUUGCCAAGAGGUACCACCAAUAGCGUGCCAAGUCGUCAAAGAACGCCACAGUGAGUCCUGGAUCCAUUGACAUGAUCACACAUAUAUAGAUUGGCUUCAGUUUCUUGUGCUAAAUCGAUUUCAAAUCAAUAUGACUCUUGCGCUGCAUCAAUUUGUACGGUAGUGUUCCAUUGUCAUGAUCAUGUGCUAGGAUGGUCCAGCGGGAGCUGCCAUGGCAAGAGAGAUGGGAAGGUC